CACGUUUAUUCACGUGUAAAGCAGUAGGGAUGGUACAACACGCUUUAAUAUGCAGAAAUGGCCUAUAAGGAGCUCAUUCUUGGUGUUGGGUCUGUUUUGGGAGCUGGAGUUUUUGUCCUCACUGGACAAGCUGCUAGGGAUUAUGUUGGGACUGCUGUCAUGAUAUCAUACCUCAUUUCAGUUUUAUCAAGUUAAAGAGGGGUCUCCUGAUUCUUUUGUUGUUGGUUCUUCAAACAAACAUGGAAAGGGACAAUCGACUUCUCCUGUUUUGCCAGCAGCGUGCAGGUAUUCACAACUUUAAACUCUGUUUUCGCUGUUCUUGUCUGAUUUUGAUGGCUGUGUAAGUGUUGACGAAUAUUUGUCAAUUUAAUUUGUGAUUGGGAACAUGAAAUUCAAAUUCCAAAUGGAUUUCAAGUUUCCAAACAAGCAAUUAAAAAUUGUAUAGAUAUUGAUUAGAGUGGAAGUCAUGGACUUGAAUCAAAGAUUUGUUAGGUGGCUAUCAUGAUGCUGAUGAUGCUCCGGAUUAAAAUCCCAGUAUAGUUUGCUCUGUCGGAGUCUCUCAAAAAAUGAAUUCAAUCCAUUUUGCCUAGUAAUGUUGGAAUGAACCCAUCCCGACUGGUUUGCUGGGGCACCUGUUAUCACUACAUUUGUUGAUGCAUUUGUCAAGUUUGUCAGAGGCACCAGAACCUUUGGUUUAAUUGCAGAGCUAGCUUCAACCAAGAUAAUUUGAGUAAAAUGUCCACCUUCUAUCCCUUCAUUGUGAAGCCUAAAGCUACAAGUCGAAAGCAUUUUUUUAAUUGUCAGAUUUCGCGCAGGCAGAGGAGUGCAAACAGAUUUGUUUACCUAGGAACUAGGCUGAUACACCGAGUGGAGGUUCACGCAGACAAUUUCUUAGAUAAGAUUUUCCAGUGAGAAUCAAUGAAACAGGGGAGACAGAGGACCGAUGAUUCUGCACAUAAGCAGUGUUUUCCUGCAAUGAAAAGGAAUUGGAACAACUCGGUGCUUCAUAAAUUUCCUGGUGGAGCUAUGCGAUAUUGUUUCCUCUUCCAGCAAGGUGUGGCACGCUCUUCGUAUUGAUACAGAAACAGGAGCCGAAGAAGUUGCUUUCUUGACAGCCUCCUGUUUGCUCCUCUUCUCAAAUUUGCUACAGUCACAGAACUUGAAUAAGAUGUGGUGAUGGCUGCUGCUGCAAGUGGGGCAACUCGCUUUCUUCAUCUGAUGUGGCAGGCAAGAAGUCACGGAUAUCCUGCCCAUAAAAAGAAUUUGUUGAAUGUGGCUAAGAAUGAUGAGUGGUGUCUACUCCAUUAAUUCGCUGAAAUGAUUUUGCUAUAAUUUCCGCAGUUUCCACCAUAACAUUCAGUUUCUGAUGGCUAAGCAGCUGCUACUAGAGCUUAGUUGCCUUAGUAGCCAUUUCUUUAUAAUGGCAACAUGAUUGUUAACUAUUGUCAAAUUGUUAAUGAAACAAAUCCAAUUGAAAAGUGCUAUAGGGAUCUUACUGUACAAUUAGAAUCUUAACGUUAGUAACUGCAAAGAAA